rnacentral:rRNA from 1 species
AUCUAUGGCCACGCCACGCUGAACAAGCCCGAUCCCAUCUGGUCUCCGAAGCUAAGCAGGGUCGGGCCUGAUUAGUACUUGGGUGGGAGACCGCCUAGGAAGACCAGGUGCUAUGGGCA